UCGUCCUCCAAAUACACUUGCUCCAUUGAAUAACUGGACGCUUAAAAAGAACUUGAUUGAAAAGGUUUAUGAAUGUGACAAGUCCCGUUGCCUUCCGUUUUCAGAGGUGAAAACCUGAACGGAUCUACCUUAUCCUUGCAUUCGCAAAUGCUGCUGAAAAGAACCGGGUACGUGGGAAAGAACUAUGCUUUGGACUACCUAGGUGCAUAAAAUCUACUUCAACAACGAGCAUCUGAAAUGGGUGCGGUGUUUUUACCAUCUGGUAAAGAAGAUUAAGAGGCUCUGAGCCAAAUCCAGAAGAGGAAGGAAUGCCCGAUAGGCAUGGCUGCAAUGCCAGACGAUGGCUAAUUUUAGCAGUUUACACUUGGCUUUAUAGUGGCUAAAUGAAAAUGUCCAUCUUCCAAAGACUACAAUGUUCAAUGCAUGGCAUUUAUCACCUUCUCUUAAGCCAGUAGAGAGUGAAAUGGAACAGGAACAAUUCGAUUGAAUUAUGAAAUGGAACAGAAACAAUUUGAUUGAAUUGUGAAAUGGAACAGGAACAAUUAGAUUGCUGGGAAACAAUUAUAUUUUCAAAAAGUAAUUUUGCAUUUCAUAGUUAAAACAUGUUGCUUCAAUGAUUCUCAUCACAUUUUAAACCCUCAACAAAUGCAAAGCUUGUUUCAAACCAUUUUUCCCCAAUCCCUUGAAUAAAUUUCAGGUGGUCUGACACGGUAACUUCUCAAAUUUGGUAAAGCUGUUUUUUAUGAUUUUUUACAAGACUGAAUAUUGUUAACAAAAUAAAUAGCUUUAAUUGCUAUAUAUUUACAAGAUAUAUACAGUACAUAGUCUGUCUUUUCUCCCAUUCUAUCUGAAUCUUAUAGGCGACAAUAUACAACUCUAUAUUAUAAUGCAAAUCAAAUGCAUUUUGAAAAGGGCUAACUGUGCUUUUUACUGUCUUAAUCUUCCCACUGAAAGACGCAGAACGGUAACCUAAAAUACCAAAAUAACAUGAUUUUGUUUUUGAGCUGAAAGGCAACACAGUAAAUUUAGUAUGUCCAUUUGAGGAGUAAGAGAAAUCCAAAUAUAAAUGUGGUUCUCCUUUUGAAAAAGGGCAGGAACCACCGUUAUAUACAUUUUUAUGCACCUCUUGCAAUUCAGGGUGACUGCACUUUUAAAUACAACAUUUCUGAACACUUGAGAAACACGCUAAUACCCUAAUCCUGUUCAGUUUAAGUCCAUAUAGAUAUAGAUUUUAACUAAGGACAUAAGAAAGUUUGAAAUAAAAGGAGUCUAUCUAGUCAGUAGUGAACUGAUCCAAGGAUCUCACCCAGACGUUUCUUGAAUGAAGCCAUGAUCGGCUUCAACAACAUUGCUGGGUAGCUGGUUUCAUACAUCCAUAACUUUAUGGGUAAAGAAGUGCCUCCUGUUUGUGGUUAUAUCAUAUAUACCAUUAGUUUUUCAAGCUAACACUUAGAAUAUAUUGUUGUCACUAUUCUCUACUCAUUGCUGAGUUCAAAAUAAGUGUCCUCAGAUUUUCAGUUAGUUCGCAUGUUCCUAAUGACCGUUUUUCCAAAUAAAGGCUUCUUUGAAGAAUACAGAUUACUUAAAGAGAUAUCUAAUCAAUAACAGAUAGUAAUUCGUUUUCACUCAUUACAAAAUGUGUCAGACGUUAUUUCACAUCAUCUUUGUCUAAAAAAACUAAAUUUGCAGGGUUUUAGAAAGAGAACACUAUUUUUAGUCACUUAUUAUACUGAUGUAGGGACAUGAUGGCAAAAAAAAUCUGAUAAAGAUUUCAUAAGUUGGCAAAUGCAUUUUAAGGAAGACAUUAAAAAUACUUCAUGAUGUGCUAUGUCUAUAUUGACUAUCUGUCAUAAUAAAUCAUUUAGAUAAAAAUCACAGCUUUCCAAAUAAUGAAUACACCUUUUUCAUAUUAACACUGACUACUCUGAGUGUAAUACAGUCAUUAAGAAGUGGGUGAGAUACUUAUAAUGUCCUCAUAAAUUACUUCAUAUUAUUAAAUAGCCAACUUUAUUGAGUUCCAAUAGAAUCUUCUGAAGUGAAAUGUGAUCAUACCUGUAAGCAUGCAAUUUUCCCAAUCGUCAACUAUCAUUACUAAUAGUGCUAACCAAAAAGUGCACUGAGCUGUCAGACUAUACUCCACAAUAAGAAGGUUUAUUGUAUUUUCUAAGUUAUUACCUGUGGUACGUGAAGGUCUCACACACUUCUAUAACAGCACUAUCAGAACAAACUCUGAACCUACUAAAGGUAACAACAUACAGAAAUAUUUUCACCGUCAAUCCAAAUUAGAACAAGACAGAUAAUGCAAUUUUUUUAUACAGUACUUAGCACCACUUUACAACCAUUCCAACGUCAUAGGAGAUGUUCCAAGCAAUUCUGUUCCGUGUUUGGCUUGCAUUUUUGUUAUUUAAGUGUAUAUUGGAGCCUAAUGGCAAGUGAAAUAAAUAAUAGUUCCAAUGAUGAUUAAUCCCACCAUGUGCAGGUGGAUGCUGCACAUUGUUGGUGGUGGAGGGGAGUCCCCAGCGC